CACGUAGGGGGCAAGCGUUGUCCGGAUUUAUUGGGCGUAAAGAGCUCGUAGGCGGCUUAGUAAGUCGGGUGUGAAACCUCCAGGCUCAACCUGGAGACGCCACCCGAUACUGCUGUGGCUAGAGUGCUGGAGAGGAGACUGGAAUUUACGGUGUAGCAGUGAAAUGCGUAGAUAUCGUAAGGAAGACCAGUGGCGAAGGCGAGUCUCUGGACAGCAACUGACGCUGAGGCACGAAGGCCAGGGGAGCAAACGGG
rnacentral:rRNA from 1 species